rnacentral:rRNA from 1 species
CGACCGGCGCACGGGUGAGUAACACGUAUGCAACCUGGCCGUGACAGAUGGAUAACCGGGAGAAAUCCCGCCUAAUACAACAUAAUGCCGGGAGGGGACAUCCCCUGCCGGCCAAAGGGGGCGACCCCGGUCACGGAUGGGCAUGCGGCGCAUUAGGUAGUUGGUGGGGCAACGGCCCACCAAGCCGACGAUGCGUAGGGGUUCUGAGAGGAAGGUCCCCCACAUUGGAACUGAGACACAGUCCAAACUCCUACGGGAGGCAGCAG